ensembl:lncRNA
CCUGCCAUCUCUCGAACAACAUGGAAAGGGGGCACAGGGCCGACACCAAAGGCCCCAAGGUGUAGGGAGGACCUUGACUCCUUCUGAAGCUCUCCUCACCCCUAAGUCUCCCCUCUUCCUUUCUUCCCUCUUAAACGGUUCUAGAUGUAGCGCUUCGUCCCAUUUUACUUUAGCUGCAUUUUUACCUCUGACUUGGGAUGACAGCCCAGCCCUUGUUUGCAUGAGCUUAUAAACACAAACUGGAAGUCUUUCUCAUUAACAUGCACGGGGCGGGGGGGUCUCAGAGAAAGGUGAGCCCUGCUGACGCGGCUUCAGCGCACUGCUGGCUCAUUUUUGCAGGGGCUGGACCUGCCUUCUUUUUCCACUAGGGCGUGAAAGCAAACCUUUGUUUUCUUAACGUAAAACACAGGCUGCUUCCACCGGAGCCAGGGUUGCGAAGCCUGCUUCCCAGCCCUCCUCUCCCUGCAGCUGGGGCCUCAGACAUCCACCUGCAGAUCCAGCCCACCUGCAGUUACUUCUCUGGAUUAAAGAAGGUCAAGGAAGAGAAAGAGCGCGGGCAUCGCUCCAGAAUCAGGUCCUGCCCUCAGGCCCCUGACUUGUGGGUUUUGUAGAGUUCCAGCCUCAUUUCCUGCCUUGGUUUUCAUUCUAGAAACAGAAUCUACACCUCAUACUGUGCCACCAUCCCAGCCUGGCUGCCCACAGAAUCCCCUAUAGCCAAGACUUUGUCCAUCCUUCCUUCAUCCUUCAGCGAGGUCUGCCGCCUUCUCCAAGCCUCAUCUUGGAUUCUCAGAUGCUGCAGCCUGCUAAGACUGUGAUUCAGGGCUUUUCCUGACAAACCCUACUUCCCAUCUGGAUCAGCCUGACCCAAGGGAGACAGGACCUCCUAGGCUGUACCCCACCCCUCUGCUGUGUUUAACUAAGCUAAGCCUGGACAAGAGGGGCAAAUUGAUUCAAAGAGAAAUAAAUGACCAAAAAGAAUAUGGUGCAUGGAUAGGGUUAAAAUCAUGAUGAUCCUUAAAGAACCAAAUUUUAGGAAACAGUGUUUUAUGGGACGAUGUCAUCAAAAUUUCUUGUGCACUAAGAUGAUGAACUUCUCUCUCUUCUUCUGUAUAAGGGGUCUAAGAUUGUCUGCCUGGGGUGGUCGUUGGAAAGGUCAGAAAAAAGGUAAGCAGAACACUAGCCCAGUUCCUGGUAUACACAUUCAUGAGGCAUUAUUGUAUUGUUAUUGUUGUGGUUGUGGUUGCAUAGCCCAUAAUCAGGGGAUGCACCUUUGCCUCUGUAUUUCCUACACAGCCUGGAGCCUUCAAGAGAGAUGCUCAUGCCUGGGGUCCCUGCUCAGGCUGUCAUUUGGUUCAAUAAUGCCGCAAAGGGGUAGGAGGCAGAGUGUGCAGAGGUAUCUCCCGGGAGAGCAGGAUCACCUCCCAGGCCUGACCCAGGUGCUCCAGCUUUUCGGAACACUAUUUCGCUUCAACACACCACAAGGGCUCAAAUGAAAUCAUCUGCAAUAGGAUAAAGGAUUCCUAAGGCAGGUAAUUCCGUAGACAUUUCCCCCAAGGUCAAAGCUCCUGGCAGCCAGGUGUACCCUCUCCCUUCAAGUGCGAUUAUGUCUGGGCUUAGCCAGAUGAAGUUGCAAAGUGCAGAAACCUGUGCAGUCUUAGAUCACCCCAGUCGAUUUUGCAGCGAUCAUUGUCUGAGUUAGCUAAUGGCAGGGUACGAGGACCUCCCACUGAGAUUCCAUUACCUUGUAAUUUUCAGCUUGUUCACUGUUGCAAUAAAGCCCUCUGUCUUAUAAUUCCCCAGCAUUCUCGUCUCAUCUUCUCAAGAACUGAAGUAUGUAAGAUGCUUUCUGCUGGGGAUUCAUUGAGAUAAGUUAUUGAAGUCAAGCAGAGAGGCAGGCUUCCAGCACUCGGCUAUUCAUCUCAAAAUUUAUGUUCGUGCUUCCUUUUGAAGGUCUAAUGUAAUCACAAACAAUGCGCUUUCUGUAUGUUUAAAAAUUCAUAAGUUUCCCGUGCAAUGGAGGCGGAGGGUGAGGAACCCCCACCUUCAGGCUCAUUAGCAAUAGGAGGCUUGGAACAGCUGACUUGUUUUCGAUGUAAUUUCUACGGGACUGAGAUCCUGCUGUUAUUGAAAGCCAUUCAGUGGGGAGGAGGAACAAUGUCCACACAUCCUCAUUAACCUGGCCUGGGAAUCCGGCUGUGUGAUUGAUCUGCCAGAUGAUCUCUUUAUUUCUUGAAAACUGCUGCUCCCUCCCAUAUCUUGUUCUUUGGUCUCUGAGACAUGGCCCUUCUCCCCUCUCUGUGCACACAGGUGCCAUCCCAGUUCUGAACCUUAGCGUGGUCAUCUCAUUGGCCUCCCUGCCCAGGGCGGCCCCUCUCCAUUCCAGCCAGCUCACUGCUACCCUUCUGAUCCCCCCAGAACAGUGUUCUCCCCGAAGCUGCCACUGCAACAAGCCCUUUUAACUGCUAAGGGGAGAAGCAAACUGAAAUGCCUCAGAGUGUGCUUUGAGGCCCAACCACUCUGUCGCCCCUUGAAAUCCAGCGGCACAGGCCGUGAGAGCUGCCCUUGAGGGAGGCUCCAGGGAGGGAGCAGAGCAAGUCCCAGAGACCUGGGCUGCUGCUCCUCAAUCCAGCACUCUCCUCCACCAGACAGCUUCAAACAAAAGACUUGUGGAGUAUGAUUCAAGAGAAUGGAGGUUCUAAAGCCCAGCUUAUUCUAACACAGGUCACAAGACACUCCUAUUGAGAGGUGGGUCCCUGCGCUCCCCUUUUCAAUCUGUGAGGGCUUGUGUCUGCUCUGACUCACAGCAUAGGGCAAAAGUGACCAUGUGUGUCUUCUGAUGCUCUUGACUUGCUCUUAGAACUCUGAGGCUCCGUGUAAGAAGACUGACCGCCAUAUAAGAAAAGGCUACCAUGUUAUAAGAAAGCCCAAGCCACACAGAUAGGCCAUAUGUAAGUGUUUGGUUGAUAGUCUCAGCUGAGCCCAGCCUCUGAGGCAUCCUAUCCCCGGCACAGACUUGUGAGUACAGAAGCUUCCAGAUGUUCCAGCCCCCAACCAUUGGAGUCACACUCAACCAUUUAAAACUUCUCAGCUGAGCUCACAGACAUCAUGGAGCAGAGACAAUCCAUCCUCACUGUAUCUGUCCAAAUUUCUGCCCCACAGGAACCAUAAGCAUAGUGAAAGUUUGUGAUUUUCAUCCACUGAAUUUGGGAUGGUUAGCUGCACAGCAGUGGUUAAUGGAACGGAGAGAGAUGUUAAAAUUCCUCCCCCAUCCCUCUCCAGACAGGUCCUCUACGCAUAUUCUGGGUGCCUGAAAAAGUGCUGCCUCCCCCAAGGUUUCCAUAGGGGAAAAGCCCUGAGACCUUAUCGCUCAGAUUCUUCCCUCACUCAGCAGGGCAUGAGAAGACCUGGGGCUCAGGGCACACACAUCUUGACGAGGGCCUGAGUGGAUUGCAGCACAGAGAAGCCCCCAGGGGUGGGGGCUGUCCCGAGCCUGCAGUGGAGGGCCCCGGCAGCUGAUGCUGCAGCAGAGGCCUGGGCAGGAGCUGUGGGUGCAGAGGGAGAAAACCGGGCUAACGCAAGAGAUAGGCAGGAGCAUGCCAUAGAGCCGAGGUCAAUGGUAUCACCCAAAUACAUCUAGCUCAUUCAGCUCCUAAGUAUAAAAUAACCAAAUCUUCUAGAGAUCCUGAUUUCAACUCAAUUCUAUUCACGUAACAAGCACCCAGCAUCCAGGUCCGGGAGGAAAACAGAAUUGAAGAAGAUGCUGUAACCUCAAGUCGAUGGAAAUCUUUCUCUGCCCUGGGUCUCUGGAAAAUGCUAAGCAAUAUAGAACGAUAAAUAUAAAAGCCUUUGCAGAAAUCGCAGCCCUGGGAAGCCCAAGGCACAUUCUGCUUUACCAUUCUACCAAUUGCAGGGGUCUCUUACUUUGGAGGGGAGGGGUGAGGCUGUCCCCUCCCUGUGUGUCAAGCUCAGAGCAGAGCAGAGGGUCUCCGAGCACAAAUGCAGUCCUCCAAAGGAAACCUCGGCAACACCCUGUGGCUAAUCCCACCGCUUUGCCAGCUGGCUGCAAAGGAGAGCCUGGAAAAGCCUCGUUAAACCACACAAAGCCGGCCUAAGAAGCAACAAAGUGGGUUGCAGCUGCCUCGUGAGCCGGCUGCGCCUGAUUGCCUGUGAUCCCCACUCAGCUUGCGGCCAGCGCGCCUGCUGACACAGCCUGUUGUGUUGGAGACCUUAUUAUUGCAAAUUCCCUUUCCACCCCGCAGAUUCCUCGGAAAUUGCAAACAUGUCUGUUUUUGGCCAGCCCGCCUGGAAAGGUCACUGCCACAGCUAUUGGGCGCCACCGCCAUUUCACUCAUUCAGACACAUACAAACCGUAAUACUUGAGGUCGAAACAGUCACUUGCUGCUGCUUAAUACUGGCUAGACUCAGGCUGGGCCCUGGGCAGAGGCUGACAAGGCUUCGUCCCCACAAAGCGGUGACUCAAGUAUCCCUAGAGAUUCUCAUUUCGUUGAGCCGAUGUGAGUCUCUGGAUGCAGUAGUUUUUAAAGCUCCCUAGUUAAGAUAUGCACAGCAGUUUUGAGAACUACGGCCAUGAGAAGUGGGGCUAAUAGUUAUUGAUCACCUACUGUAUACCAGGCCGAAUAUACUACAAACUUUCUUGUUUCUUCCAUAAAACAGCUAUGAGUGAGGUAUUUCCUCCUUGGAGGAGUGAGGAAAUUAAAGUUUAGAGAAGUUAAAAGUG